rnacentral:rRNA from 1 species
UACGUAGGGGGCAAGCGUUGUCCGGAAUCAUUGGGCGUAAAGAGCGUGUAGGCGGCUCGGUAAGUCCGCUGUAAAAGUCCAGGGCUCAACCCUGGAAAGCCGGUGGAAACUGUCGAGCUAGAGUCCGGAAGAGGCGAGUGGAAUUCCUGGUGUAGCGGUGAAAUGCGCAGAUAUCAGGAAGAACACCCGUGGCGAAGGCGGCUCUCUGGGACGGUACCGACGCUGAGACGCGAAAGCGUGGGGAGCGAACAGG